rnacentral:sRNA from 1 species
UCCUAUUGCGGGUGAGCGUGCAGAGCAC